rnacentral:lncRNA from 1 species
CUACCGUUCUGCCUCCGACCGGUCGUGUGUGGGUUUACUCGGAGACAGGGUCUCACUCUGUCACCCAGGGUGGAGUGCAGUGGUGCAAUUAUGGCUCACUGUAGUCUUGAUCUCCUGGGCUCAAGCAGUCCUCCCAACUCAGCUCCCAAGUAGCUAGAACUACAGAAAUACUAGGCUUUAGAAUUUCACCAUAUGAAUUUUGGGAGAGAGGAGCACAGUUCAGCCCAUAACUAACACACGACGGAAUGAAGUUGAUAAUAGUGAGACCUUGUUGGUACAAGACUAUGUAACAUAACCUGCGCUUCUCAACAAAGAAUUGCUUUUCUGACUUCUGCACUCAAUAGCAAGACAAAUCUCUCCUCUGCCUUCUCCUUAUCAGACUACUCAACAUGAAGGCAAUAAGAAUGAAGACCUCUAUGUAUAAUAAUUGACUUCCACUUAAUAAAUAAGGUUACUUGGUACACUGGUCGACAAAACCUUGAAAUGUUGAUGUUUAAGGGCUGUUGAUUGCUGGCAGCAAAGAAGUCCAACUGUGCUGGUACCCGAGAUAGCGUCUCCACAUUUUCUUCCAGGAUCAUCACCUUUGUUCUAAAUAGCUCCCACAUAGUGUGAACAGAAGUCAUAUGUUUUAGAUUUU